CCCGGGCCUUGUACACACCGCCCGUCACACCAUGGGAGUGGGUUGCACCAGAAGUAGAUAGCUUAACCUUCGGGAGGGCGUUUACCACGGUGUGAUUCAUGACUGGGGUGAAGUCGUAACAAGGUAACCCUAGGGGAACCUGGGGUUGGAUCACCUCCUUACCUUAA
rnacentral:rRNA from 1 species